CAGGUGUCCUUUGGACUUGAUAGGGAAUCCCGUGCAAAACGGGAGCGGACCCGCCGCCGUGAGCCUCUUCUUCGCUGAAUGAAAGAGAACGGUUCCCCCUGUGCGCCACUGGAAUUGCAUUCCGGGAAGGCCGGGAACCGCGAGGCAAGCCGGAAGACCUGCCUGGCAAG
rnacentral:ncRNA from 1 species